rnacentral:rRNA from 1 species
GGACUACUAGGGUAUCUAAUCCCGUUCGCUCCCCUGGCUUUCGCACCCGAGCGUCAGUGACUCCCCAGGAUGGUGCCUUCGCCUUUGGUGUUCUUCCGGAUCUCUACGCAUUUCACCACUCCACCCGGAAUUCCCCAUCCCUCUGAAGCCCUCAAGUCUCGCAGUUUCCAUAAGCCUGACACAGUUGAGCUGUGCCCUGUCCCUACAGACUAACAAGACCGCCUGCGCGCGCUUUACGCCCAGUAACUCCGGACAACGCUCGCCUCCUACGUAUUACCGCGGCGGCUGGCAC